CCUGGGGCGGCUCUUUCGCUGGCACCAAGUAACGACUGAACAAAAGUGCCCCCUUCAGGAGUUCUUCAUGAUGUUGGUACAGCUCUCUGAGAUCCUCAAAUGCCAGACAAGAAACCAAGAGUUCUUUAGUUAGGGGCUGGAGAGCUGGAACAUGGCCUGUUCUACGGGAGCCAACUCAAAAACAAUCAAGC